UACGAAGGGGGGCUAGCGUUGCUCGGAAUCACUGGGCGUAAAGCGCACGUAGGCGGAUCUUUAAGUCGGGGGUGAAAGCCUGUGGCUCAACCACAGAAUUGCCUUCGAUACUGUUAGGCUUGAGACCGGAAGAGGUAAGUGGAACUGCGAGUGUAGAGGUGAAAUUCGUAGAUAUUCGCAAGAACACCAGUGGCGAAGGCGGCUUACUGGUCCGGUUCUGACGCUGAGGCGCGAAAGCGUGGGGGAGCAAACAGG
rnacentral:rRNA from 1 species